rnacentral:rRNA from 1 species
CNUACGGGAGGCAGCAGUGAGGAAUAUUGGUCAAUGGACGCAAGUCUGAACCAGCCAUGUCGCGUGCAGGAUGACGGCCCUAUGGGUUGUAAACUGCUUUUUUACGGGAAUAAACUUAGCUACGUGUAGUUAACUGAAGGUACCGUAUGAAUAAGGAUCGGCUAACUCCGUGCCAGCAGCCGCGGUAAUACGGAGGAUUCGAGCGUUAUCCGGAUUUAUUGGGUUUAAAGGGUCCGUAGGCGGACUUGUAAGUCAGUGGUGAAAUCUCACAGCUCAACUGUGAAACUGCCAUUGAUACUGCUGGUCUUGAAUAUAGUUGAGGUAGGCGGAAUACGUUAUGUAGCGGUGAAAUGCAUAGAUAUAACGUAGAACACCGAUUGCGAAGGCAGCUUACUAAGCUAUUAUUGACGCUGAUGGACGAAAGCGUGGGGAGCGAACAGGAUUAGAUACCCUGGUAGUCCACGCCGUAAACGAUGAUUACUCGUUGUGCGCGAUACACAGUGCGCGACUGAGCGAAAGCAUUAAGUAAUCCACCUGGNNANNNNGUUGGCAACAAUGAAACUCAAAGGAAUUGACGG